GGGGACGGAGAAGGCUAUGUUGGCCGGGCGACGGUUGUCCCGGUUUAAGCGUGUAGGCUGGUUUUCCAGGCAAAUCCGGAAAAUCAAGGCUGAGGCGUGAUGACGAGGCACUACGGUGCUGAAGCGACAAAUGCCCUGCUUCCAGGAAAAGCCUCUAAGCAUCAGGUAACAUCAAAUCGUACCCCAAACCGACACAGGUGGUCAGGUAGAGAAUACCAAGGCGCUUGAGAGAACUCGGGUGAAGGAACUAGGCAAAAUGGUGCCGUAACUUCGGGAGAAGGCACGCUGAUAUGUAGGUGAAGCGACUUGCUCGUGGAGCUGAAAUCAGUCGAAGAUACCAGCUGGCUGCAACUGUUUAUUAAAAACACAGCACUGUGCAAACACGAAAGUGGACGUAUACGGUGUGACGCCUGCCCGGUGCCGGAAGGUUAAUUGAUGGGGUUAGCGGUAACGCGAAGCUCUUGAUCGAAGCCCCGGUAAACGGCGGCCGUAACUAUAACGGUCCUAAGGUAGCGAAAUUCCUUGUCGGGUAAGUUCCGACCUGCACGAAUGGCGUAAUGAUGGCCAGGCUGUCUCCACCCGAGACUCAGUGAAAUUGAACUCGCUGUGAAGAUGCAGUGUACCCGCGGCAAGACGGAAAGACCCCGUGAACCUUUACUAUAGCUUGACACUGAACAUUGAGCCUUGAUGUGUAGGAUAGGUGGGAGGCUUUGAAGUGUGGACGCCAGUCUGCAUGGAGCCGACCUUGAAAUACCACCCUUUAAUGUUUGAUGUUCUAACGUGGGCCCCUUACCGGGGUUGCGGACAGUGUCUGGUGGGUAGUUUGACUGGGGCGGUCUCCUCCUAAAGAGUAACGGAGGAGCACGAAGGUUGGCUAAUCCUGGUCGGACAUCAGGAGGUUAGUGCAAUGGCAUAAGCCAGCUUGACUGCGAGCGUGACGGCGCGAGCAGGUGCGAAAGCAGGUCAUAGUGAUCCGGUGGUUCUGAAUGGAAGGGCCAUCGCUCAACGGAUAAAAGGUACUCCGGGGAUAACAGGCUGAUACCGCCCAAGAGUUCAUAUCGACGGCGGUGUUUGGCACCUCGAUGUCGGCUCAUCACAUCCUGGGGCUGAAGUAGGUCCCAAGGGUAUGGCUGUUCGCCAUUUAAAGUGGUACGCGAGCUGGGUUUAGAACGUCGUGAGACAGUUCGGUCCCUAUCUGCCGUGGGCGCUGGAGAACUGAGGGGGGCUGCUCCUAGUACGAGAGGACCGGAGUGGACGCAUCACUGGUGUUCGGGUUGUCAUGCCAAUGGCACUGCCCGGUAGCUAAAUGCGGAAGAGAUAAGUGCUGAAAGCAUCUAAGCACGAAACUUGCCCCGAGAUGAGUUCUCCCUGACUCCUUGAGAGUCCUGAAGGAACGUUGAAGACGACGACGUUGAUAGGCCGGGUGUGUAAGCGCAGCGAUGCGUUGAGCUAACCGGUACUAAUGAACCGUGAGGCUUAACCUU
rnacentral:rRNA from 1 species